ensembl:lncRNA
AGAGUUCUUGUAUUCAUACCAGUCCUCCUCUUGAAGUCAGAGUGUUUGUGGGCUUGUACUUCUGGGACCGAUGCCUUUGAUGUUUAGUUAAAGGCUGUGGGCUGUUAGAGCUGGGAGAAACCAUGGAGAACACCUGAUCCAGCUUUACAGAGGAGGCCGGGGAGGAGUGGCCACCUGCCUAACUUUCCAGUUUUUGCGGACUCGAGCCUGGACCAGAAUGAGAUGUAAGAGACGCACGUUUGAUCCUUGGGUCAGGAGCACCCCCUGGAGGAGGGCAAGGAAACUCCAGUAUCCUUGCCUGGAGAACUCCAUGGACAGAGGAGCCUGGUAGACUAUGGUCCAUGGAGUCACAAGGAGUCAGACACGACUAACGUGACUUAGCAU